GAGAUCCGGAAGUCUCUCUCUUGGAUUGUAUGAAGCAAUGAAUCAAUGGAUGAUGUGUGUCUUGGAGACUUGUUCUAUGUGUGAACGUGUGAUGCUAAUAAAGAAAAAUGAUUGAUCGAAUAAAAUUCAGUUUUUCGGUUCUGUAUGAUUAUCUUUAAUUAAAAAAAAAAAAAAAAAAUGAUUAUCUUGAAUUAAGAGUAUAUUUUGAGGGAUUAAGAGGUGCCCAUCAAGAGAUAAUUACUUGCUAACGCAGGGGAUAAUUGGUUUAUAUUUUUUUGUCGUAGAAUUUAAUCCGUAGAUUUAUUUGCCGUAGCUGUAGCUUUCCUUGCUGCAAAUUUCUAAAGCACUAAUUUUUUAUUCUGGAAAUAAAGCUCUCUAC
rnacentral:lncRNA from 1 species